GCCUACCUCACAAUAUUCAAGUAGUAUAUAUGUAUAUUUUAAGACAACUUUUCUUCUAUCUUUAGGAAUAAGUAGGGAAUUUUAGUUUUCCUAUAUAUUUUAGUGGAAUAUUUGAGUAUUUUGUGUUUUAAGGUUUUUCUGCUACAUUUUUACUUUUAUAAGUUUUCAUGCAAUAUAUUUUGAUGAUAGUCUUUCCUUUACCUUGAAUUCUACUAAGUCCUUCCUAUUUCCUUACUGACACAAAGUCAUGUUUUGUUUUCAUUCUCUUUUUAAAAAAGAAAAAAGCUACCACAAAACCAAGAAGAUAAAAGUCAUAACGAGUUAAGGCACAUAGACAAAGCAUUUUAACUGACUAUUUCUGAACAAAAGGCCGACCCUGAAAUGUGGUUGAUGUACUCAGUUGAUAUUUCCAUUGAAGAAAACUGAAUUUUCUUUUAUUCAUGUUGCCUUCUUCUUAUGAUACUUUCUGAAUUCUUUGGCAGAUUUUAUCACUUAAAAACUAGAAGAACAUGACUUAGUUGUGAAUAUAUGAGACUUAUUUUGUGGUGUAGAAUGUGAUAAGAUUGGUCCUUCCUCUAUUUGGGUGUUGAGUGGGUAAGAGCACCUUCUCUCCCUUUAGUCCUACUGGUUUUAACUUUAUUUAACUUGGGACUAUGUUAUUAUACAUAUGAAUUCAGAAGUAUUGCUCUGAUGGGCUGAAGUUCAAUCUUCAUAAAAUGCUGCUAUGUCUUUCUAGCAUUCUAUGACUUGUCUAGCUAUCCUGGUUAGUAGAGAGUGUGGGUUAAACAGAUAGGACUUUCUAUAUUGUGUCUAUGGUAGGCAGUAUAUUUGUGGUUUCUGAGCAUCGUCAGAGUAUUUAUCUUUUAAUUAGAGAAUUAUUAUACUUUUGCUUAGUGUAAUGACAUUGUUAUGUUGGACUCUACAUCUAAAGUGAUUUAAAAAUUUCCCUUUCCUUCUUUUUCCUAUCUCUUUUUAAAACAGUCAAGCAUCUUCUACACCAUUUUCAACUCUUAUUAAUACUGGUAAUUUUUAAAAAAAGGAAAGAAUUUCUACAGUAUGCUGGUCACUUUUUUUGUCAACUCAAGACAAACUAGAGACACUAGGGAAGAGAAAAUCUCUAUUAAAGAAUUGCCUUCAUAGGAAUGGCCUCUGUACAGACAUGCCACUCCUACAUAGUACGACUUGAACUGUAUAAGAAAAAUACCAGAUGAUAAAGCCAGAGGAAGUAACACCAGAUAAAGCCAGAGGAAGUGACCAGGUAGGAAAGUCCUCCUUGGCCUCUCUGUGCUUUUCAGUUCCUGCCUGCUUGAGUUUAUGUUUUCACAGCCCUCAGUGAUACUAUGGCUACUGGGAAGAUGAAGCACAUCUACUUUUCAUGAUUCUUUUGUCAGUGGCAUGUAUCAAAACAACAGAAAGCAUACUAGGGGUUGCCAGCUGGUGACAUUAUUUGGGAAGGUAAUAAGACCUGGUGAUGGUAGAGUCUUGCUAGAGAAAGUACUUCACUCAUGGCAGGC
rnacentral:lncRNA from 1 species